GACGAACGCUGGCGGCGUGCUUAACACAUGCAAGUCGAACGGUAAGGCCCUUCGGGGUACACGAGUGGCGAACGGGUGAGUAACACGUGGGUGAUCUGCCCUGCACUUCGGGAUAAGCCUGGGAAACUGGGUCUAAUACCGGAUAGGACCCUGGGAUGCAUGUCCUGGGGUGGAAAGCUUUUGCGGUGUGGGAUGGGCCCGCGGCCUAUCAGCUUGUUGGCGGGGUGAUGGCCUACCAAGGCGACGACGGGUAGCCGGCCUGAGAGGGUGACCGGCCACACUGGGACUGAGAUACGGCCCAGACUCCUACGGGAGGCAGCAGUGGGGAAUAUUGCACAAUGGGCGCAAGCCUGAUGCAGCGACGCCGCGUGAGGGAUGACGGCCUUCGGGUUGUAAACCUCUUUCAGCACCGACGAAGCGCAAGUGACGGUAGGUGCAGAAGGAGGACCGGCCAACUACGUGCCAGCCGCCGUCGUAA
rnacentral:rRNA from 1 species